rnacentral:rRNA from 1 species
UACGAAGGGUGCAAACGUUGCUCGGAAUUAUUGGGCGUAAAGCGCACGUAGGCGGCAUUGCAAGUCGGAUGUGAAAUCUUAUGGCUUAACCAUAAAAGUGCAUCCGAAACUGCAGUGCUUGAGUACUUAAGAGGAUCGCGGAAUUCCCGGUGUAGAGGUGAAAUUCGUAGAUAUCGGGAGGAACACCAGUGGCGAAGGCGGCGAUCUGGGAAGAUACUGACGCUGAGGUGCGAAAGCGUGGGGUGCAAACAGG